CACGUAGGGCGCAAGCGUUGUCCGGAAUUAUUGGGCGUAAAGAGCUCGUAGGCGGUCUGUUGCGUCCGCUGUGAAAACCCGGGGCUUAACCCUGGGCUGGCAGUGGAUACGGACAGACUAGAGGUAGGUAGGGGAGAAUGGAAUUCCCGGUGUAGCGGUGAAAUGCGCAGAUAUCGGGAGGAACACCGGUGGCGAAGGCGGUCUCUGGGCCUUACCUGACGCUGAGGAGCGAAAGCGUGGGGAGCGAACAGG
rnacentral:rRNA from 1 species